GACGAACGCUGGCGGCGUGCUUAACACAUGCAAGUCGAACGGAAAGGCCCUGCUUUUGUGGGUUGCUCGAGUGGCGCACGGGUGAGUAACACGUGAGUAACCUGCCCUUGACUUUGGGAUAACUUCAGGAAACUGCGGCUAAUACCGGAUAGGAGCUAUUGCUGCAUGGUGGGGGUUGGAAAGUUUCGGCGGUUGGGGAUGGUCUCGCGGCUUAUCAGCUUGUUGGUGGGGUUGUGGCUUACCAAGGCUUCGACGGGUAGCCGGCCUGAGAGGGUGACCGGCCACAUUGGGACUGAGAUACGGCCCAGACUCCUACGGGAGGGAGCAGUGGGGAAUAUUGCACAAUGGACGGAAGCCUGAUGCAGCAACGCCGCGUGCGGGAUGACGGCCUUCGGGUUGUAAACCGCUUUCGCCUGUGACGAAGCGUGAGUGACGGUAAUGGGUAAAGAAGCACCGGCUAACUACGUG
rnacentral:rRNA from 1 species